UACGUAGGGUGCGAGCGUUGUCCGGAUUUAUUGGGCGUAAAGAGCUCGUAGGCGGUUUGUCGCGUCGGCCGUGAAAUCUCCACGCUUAACGUGGAGCGUGCGGUCGAUACGGGCAGACUUGAGUUCGGUAGGGGAGACUGGAAUUCCUGGUGUAGCGGUGAAAUGCGCAGAUAUCAGGAGGAACACCGGUGGCGAAGGCGGCAUCCUGGACCAACACUGACGCUGAGGAGCGAAAGCCAGGGGAGCAAACGGG
rnacentral:rRNA from 1 species